rnacentral:rRNA from 1 species
CGAGAGGCCGAGUUGACAGCUCGACACGGAGCACGACAGCAUACUUCGGUUCACCCUGCCGCCUCCGUGGAGCCAGGGGCGAUGUUCAGUUCCUUAGGGGUACCGUGUUUAACUCCCACUUUGCGUAAUGUGCGACUACCCAAGGAUUUCAAGGGACCUCGUAAGGUACCAAAUUACACCGCCGAUUUGCAGCCGGAGGCGUGGGUGGAGAGCUAUGAGAUGGCAAUGGAGAUGUUAGAUGUGGAUGAGGCGGUGUGUGCUAAAUAUUUCACCAUGAUGUUGGAAGGAACAGCUCACACUUGGUUGAAGAGCUUGCCGACCAACUCUAUUGGAUCAUGGGCCGAACUGAAGCACCGGUUUAUCCAGAACUUCAAGGAUACGUGUAAGCAGCCAAUGUCAAUUGUAGAUCUGGCCACUUGUGUCCAAGAGGAAGGGGAGUCCACGACCCGUUGGGUCAAACGGGUCUCGGCGAUUUUGCAUUCAUCAGAUCGUAUCAAUGCAGACACCACAGUGUUAACGUUAGAGGGCAAUUGCCGUUUCAAACCAUUGAAACAGAAGUUGGGAAGGCUCAAACGCCACUGCAACGACAUGUCAACACUCAUGGCCACUUUGGUUAAAUAUGUCGAUUCAGAUAAUACCAAGGAUCCGAAUUUAGAGGAGGACAAACCGGAGAAGGGUAAGAAGAACGGCAAUGCCAAAGGCCAACAACAUAAUCCGGCAGGCCAUGGAAACGUCGGUAAGCGCAAGGCCGACAGUGAUUUGGACUUUGUCGCAAAUACCAACGUGCAGGAGAAUGGCCAGUGCCGUAAAGGCAAGCAGCCCCAGAGGGGUGGAGGUCCAGGCAACAAUUUGGAGUGUUUGUUAAAUCAGCCCUGUCCAAAGCAUGGAUCGAAGGAGAAAUCGGCAUCACAUCUCUGGAAAGAUUGUUAUUCAUGCGGGAUUUCAAGAAUUCCAAUAUGUUCCAAUAUGACAGCGGCCCGCCCGGCGGUUCAGGAGGAGGUUUCCACGGGCCGGGUUACGAAGGUGGUGGUUUCGGUUCAGGGUUUCCAGGCAAUCAAACCGGACACGUCAAUCAAG